rnacentral:rRNA from 1 species
UACGGAGGUGGCAAGCGUUGUUCGGAAUUACUGGGCGUAAAGGGCGCGUAGGCGGCAAGGCAAGUCAGGUGUGAAAGCCCCGAGCUUAACUCGGGAAUUGCAUCUGAAACUGCUGUGCUUGAGUUCUGGAGGGGGUAGUGGAAUUCCCAGUGUAGCGGUGAAAUGCGUAGAUAUUGGGAGGAACACCUGCGGCGAAGGCGGCUACCUGGACAGAAACUGACGCUGAGGCGCGAAGGCUAGGGGAGCGAACGGG